GGUAAAUCUCUUCUAAAGCUAAAUACCGGCCAGAGACCGAUAGCGCACAAGUAGAGUGAUCGAAAGAUGAAAAGCACCUUGAAAAGGGGGUUAAAUAGCACGUGAAAUUGUUGAAAGGGAAGCACUUAUGACCAGACUU
rnacentral:rRNA from 1 species